GCACUACAUAAUAACCUGGUUUUAACCAGAUCACGGAACAUGUGUUUGGGUGAUUUGAUUUCCAGAAGACCAAGGUAGGUCCCAGUAGACUGGAAAGCAAAGGCCUUGCAUAAUUCCUGCAAGUACAGGCCCAAAAACAGUUCAGGAGUCAGUCACACCAUCCUGGAUUUGUUCCUUGAUGUCCUGCUUUUUGGAAUGCCAGGGGACUAUCUCCAAAAAAAACAUAGUCCAGGUGCUUCGUUCAACACGCUCACACUAAAGACACUGGGACCAUAUAGAGAACACAUAUGCGGUGCCACCAGCAUGGUCUGUAUUCAGUGGAAGAAAAGAAAUAUCCAGGCACACCUGAGGUUUCUUUAAAAAGGCAGCCUUUUUUAUUUGAAACGAGGAAGUGGAGACAAC